rnacentral:rRNA from 1 species
GAGUUUGAUCAUGGCUCAGGAUGAACGCUCGCGGCAGGCCUAAUACAUGCAAGUCGAACGGUAACAUGAGAGCUUGCUCUUGAUGACGAGUGGCGCACGGGUGCGUAACACGUAUGUAACCUACCUAUUACAGGGGGAUAGCCCCGAGAAAUCGGGAUUAAUACCCCAUAGUAUAUUAAAAUGGCAUCUUAUUAAUAUUAAAGUUUCGGCGGUAAUAGAUGGACAUGCGUCCCAUUAGCUAGUAGGUGAGGUAACGGCUCACCUAGGCGACGAUGGGUAGGGGGUCUGAGAGGAUGAUCCCCCACACUGGUACUGAGAUACGGACCAGACUCCUACGGGAGGCAGCAGUAGGGAAUAUUGGUCAAUGGGCGCAAGCCUGAACCAGCCAUGGCCGCGUGCAGGAAGACGGCCUUCUGGGUUGUAAACUGCUUUUAUCAGGGAAGAAAAAGCUCUUGCGAGAGAAAUUGCCUGUACCUGAUGAAUAAGCACCGGCUAACUCCGUGCCAGCAGCCGCGGUAAUACGGAGGGUGCAAGCGUUGUCCGGAUUUAUUGGGUUUAAAGGGUGCGUAGGCGGAUAAUUAAGUCAGUGGUGAAAGACUGCAGCUUAACUGUGGAACUGCCCUUGAUACUGUUGGUCUUGAGUUACAGUGAAGUGGUUAGAAUGUGUAGUGUAGCGGUGAAAUGCAUAGAUAUUACACAGAAUACCGAUUGCGAAGGCAGAUCACUAACUGUUGACUGACGCUAAUGGACGAAAGCGUGGGGAGCAAACAGGAUUAGAUACCCUGGUAGUCCACGCCGUAAACGAUGUCAACUAGACGUUGGGGGGUUUAACCCUUUAGUGUCGCAGCUAACGCAUUAAGUUGACCGCCUGGGGAGUAC